rnacentral:rRNA from 1 species
GACGAACGCUGGCGGCGUGCCUAACACAUGCAAGUCAACUUGACUGAAGGAGCAAUCUGACAGUAGAGUGGCGCAAGGGUGCGUAACGCGUAAGUAACUUGCCCAAGGUAAGGAAUAACGUCGAGAAAUCGGCGCUAAUACCUCAUAAUGCAGCGGAUCCGCAUGGAUAUGUUGUUAAAGGUUUACCGCCUUGGGAUAGGCUUGCGUCUGAUUAGUUAGUUGGUGUGGUAACGGCACACCAAGGCUACGAUCAGUAACUGGUCUGAGAGGAUGAUCAGUCACACUGGAACUGAGACACGGUCCAGACUCCUACGGGAGGCAGCAGUGAGGAAUAUUGGGCAAUGCUCGAAAGAGUGACCCAGCAACGCCGCGUGGAGGAUGAAGGUAUUCUAUAUCGUAAACUCCUGUGAGAGCAGACGAAAGACAGAUUAUUAAUCUGGAUGACUGUAUGCUCAGAGGAAGCCCCCGGCUAACUACGUG